rnacentral:lncRNA from 1 species
CUGAGACAUGUAAAAAACAAACAUGUAGAUACGAUAGAAGAGGAAUACAAAAGUAAUCAGUUUUUUGACACUUCUGAUAGUAUUGAGUCUUCAGAAUUUGAAAGACGUGAUCAAAUCAGCUUUGGGAGCAGAUUCAGAAGAAAGAGAACAAAGAGAGACUGAAAAAAAUGACACCAAAAUAUAAACUCAAGAGAAGGAAAGCUCAUCAAUUAAGAAAAACACUAUUUCUAAUGAUUCGAUCAAAGCAACAUAACAAAAAGAGAAUGACAGCACCAGGAAAGUUGUUUUCCGGUAAUGACGACACUAAAUUAAGCUGGUAUUCAGUUCAAACAGGCAAAACAUACCGUAAAAUACUUUACCAAGG